AAGGUUUGCCGUACCGGACUGUACCGCCCGGUACGGGCGGUACGUACCGGUCCGACAGGCCAGCGGUACGCGGACCGCCCCGUACCGUACCGAGUACUGUAGCAGUGUACAGUGACACUGUAGCAGUGUACAGUAGACUGUAGCAGUGUACAGUGCUCGGUACACGUGAGUGUACCGCUCGGUACACCUGGGUGUACCGAGCGGUAUACCGUACCGUACCGGUACCGAGCCUGGGUCGAAACGCCGGUACGGUACGGUACGGCGAACCUUGAU
rnacentral:lncRNA from 1 species